rnacentral:tRNA from 1 species
ACCAGGGUAGCUUAGUUAAAGCUUUGAUUUUGUAAUUCAAGGAUAGGAGUUCCCUUCCUGGUA